rnacentral:rRNA from 1 species
AGGCAGACGGCUCAGUAACACGUAGUCAACCUACCCUAUGGACGAGAAUAAUCUCGGGAAACUGAGCAUAAUUCUUGAUAGACCAUAAUGCCUGGAAUGGUUUAUGGUUAAAAUGAUUCGUCGCCAUAGGAUGGGACUGCGGCCUAUCAGCUUGUUGGUGAGGUAAUGGCCCACCAAGGCGAUUACAGGUACGGGCUCUGAGAGGAGAAGCCCGGAGAUGGGUACUGAGACACGGACCCAGGCCCUAUGGGGCGCAGCAGGCGAGAAAACUUUGCAAUGUGCGAAAGCACGACAAGGUUAAUCCGAGUGAUUUCUGCUAAAGAAAUCUUUUGCCAGUCGUAAAACCGCUGGUGAAUAAGGGGUGGGCAAGUUCUGGUGUCAGCCGCCGCGGUAAAACCAGCACCUCAAGUGGUCAGGAUGAUUAUUGGGCCUAAAGCAUCCGUAGCCGGCUUUGUAAGCUUUCGGUUAAAUCCAUGUGCUCAACGCAUGGGCUGCCGAAAAUACUGCAUAGCUAGGGAGUGGAAGAGGUAGACGGUACUCAGUAGGUAGGGGUAAAAUCCUUUGGUCUAUUGAUGACCACCUGUGGCGAAGGCGGUCUACCAGAACACGUUCGACGGUGAGGGAUGAAAAGCUGGGGGAGCAAACCGGAUUAGAUACCCGGGUAGUCCCAGCUGUAAACGAUGCA